rnacentral:pre_miRNA from 1 species
CUUUCGUCCUAUAGUAAGUGUAUUUUUGUAAUGUUUGAUUGUUCUUCUUAUAUGAAAAUUUAUGAUUAGUAUAUUUAUUCUUAUUAGAUGAUAAAAUAUGAAUAAUACUUUAUGUGUGACUAUUUUUUAUUUUUUUUAUAAAAUUUUAAAUAAAAUAACCGGUUAAACGUUAAACACGAAAAUUCAUAAAAUACAGUUAUA